rnacentral:rRNA from 1 species
UGCGGGGGGGGCAAGCGUUGUUCGGAAUUACUGGGCGUAAAGGGCUCGUAGGCGGCCAACUAAGUCAGACGUGAAAUCCCUCGGCUUAACCGGGGAACUGCGUCUGAUACUGGAUGGCUUGAGGUUGGGAGAGGGAUGCGAAAUUCCAGGUGUAGCGGUGAAAUGCGUAGAUAUCAGGAAGAACACCCGUGGCUAAGGCGGCUCUCUAGUACGGUACUGACGCUGAGACGCGAAAGCUAGGGGAGCAAACAGG